CACACAGGUGCAACAACAGCCAAAGUGGCUGUUUUAAUUUAAAAAUUCCAAUCAAUAUUAACAGAAAAUGUAUACUUUAUUCAUUAAGCUCUACCUAUUAUCCAGUUCUGCACAGAGGGCAGAGCCUUGAAAGUAGGUUUUUGCAGGCUCAGCCCAGCCCAGGCGGAGCUAUCUUGCUCUAAAAAUCAGGAAAGAGGACUUAGGCAGAGGAAGCCAGGUCUGCAUUAUCCAUAUCUGGAGCAUGAUCUGAAAUAGCAGAUACUCCAGGAAUGCCUCAGGAAGGUAACCUUGAUGUGGAUGAUAUCGAUGCUGUUUUGAAAGGGAGAGCUGACUGGAGAAAGGAAGAGGAUAAAUGGCAUAAAACUGGCCAACGUCAGAGGAUGUCCUACAUCAAGUUACAUUCCUAGGUUAUUUGUACUGCCUGAAAAGAGUAAAAAUCUCAUUAAAAGAGAAAAGGAGCAAGGAAAAUAAAUGUUUUCAUAGGAAAAUGCCCAGGAACUGCAGAUGAGCUCUAGGCAGUUGUAGCUAUUAUUUUUCUGGAAUAUCCCAACAUAGGCUUAGUGCCAAGCAUGCUGGUGUUGAAGAGGAGAAGCUGUUCUACAGCUGUUCUCAACAUGAGGAAAAACAAGUAAGAGCCUUUCAGAAAUGCCAUCAUGAAGUGGUAUGGGCAACGGCUGGUAGCAGCAGGAGAGGGAGGAACAAAAAAGAAGCCCACAGAACAACGUGUAGAGCAGCCAAGUGCCAGCCUGCAUGCAGAGCUCUGAUAAAGGGGACCAGGAAAUCUUCAGCAGCUCCCAGCAACUGCAGGAGUAAUCACCAAAGGGACAAAGGGAGGAAUGAAAAUAAGCACAAAGUGCCUGCAAGUUGAAAUUCUCCAGAGAAAGGACAAAGUGGUAAGAGUACCGCAAGCUGCCUGCUACAGUGCUGGAAACUGAGCUCCACUUCUCCCUGGCAUACUACUGCUCCGAAUGAGUACCACUGAGGUUAGAAAACAUUAUCAUUGCCCAGCUCUCGUUAUCAGACAGAAACUGGCUGUGCCUCUCCAUAUUCUAAAUGGGACCGUCUCCGUCGAAUACAGCCGUGUUCCUUGGCUGCUGAGAAAUAUGCCUGCCUUCUUGCAGAAAUAAAAAGUUGGUUUACAAACAGAACCUCUCAAGCUUUCUCUCCAUUAGAGUAUCAGCCUUGACUGUCAUGUUGCUGCAGGUAGCCAGCUCCCAUUAACCACCCUGUCUCAGAAGUCACCUGAGCACGGGCUGCCUGGUCCAACCAAGAAGAUAAAAUAGACCUUGAGGCCAACUUCAUCCAGCUGAUUGCCUGCUCACUUCUGUUAUUCAUAGCAUGGACAGGCCUCCUUUGCUCCUAAAUAUCCAGGGUAGAUAGCUUUGAAAAAUGCACAGCUUCUUGCAAAACAACAGCUAAGAUGCACCCAAGUAACCGCACUAGUAGAAGCAACACCAGCAGAG
ensembl:lncRNA